GACGAAGCCGUGCGAACGUUGUUCGGAUUCACUGGGCUUAAAGGGCGCGUAGGCGGCUCGCCAAGUCGGGGGUGAAAUCUUUCGGCCUCAACCGGGAAAACAGCUUCCGAUACUGGCGGGCUCGAGUGGGGUAGGGGCGGACUGGAACUUCCGGUGGAGCGGUGAAAUGACGUAGAUAUCGGAAGGAACGCCGGUGGCGAAAGCGAGUCGCGUGGACCCCUCCCUGACGCUGAGGCGCGAAAGCCAGGGGAGCGAA
rnacentral:rRNA from 1 species